UUCAUGAGCUGGGAUAGCUCCGUCAGUAGAGCAUGAGACUCUUAAUCUCAGGGUUGUGGAUUCGAGCCCGACAUUAGGUGAAA